rnacentral:lncRNA from 1 species
UAUAUGAAAUGAUUUUGCAUGCUUGUGAUGCGGUUUCGAAGGGUUUUAACAGGGUAUUGUACGCUGUAUAGAGAUACAGAUAUGUUGUUGCUUUUAGUUUACGCAAAACAACGAAAACGCUAUUCCGUUCAUGAAAUUACUGAACGCCUAUCAGCCCAUUAUUGAUAAUAUUUUAGGAUUUCACGCUAUAACAGGGUUUGAUACGACCUCAUCUUCUACUAAAAAAUUG